GGGGGAGUAUGGUCGCAAGGCUGAAACUUAAUGGAAUUGAUGAAAGGGCACCACUGGGAGUGGAGCUUACGGCUUAAUUUGACUCAACACGAGGAAACAUACUAGGUCUAGACAUAGUAAGGAUGGACAGACUGAGAGCUCUUUCUUGAUUUUAUGGGUGGUGACGCAUGGCCGUUUUUAGUUGGUGGAGGGAUUUGUCUAGUUAAUUUUAUUAAGGAAUGAGACCUCAGCCUACUAAGUAGCUACACGGAGGUGAUCCUCCGUGGCUAGCUUCUUAAAGGGACUAUGGCCAUUUAGGCCAAGGAAGUUUGAGGCAAUAACAGGUCUGUGAUGCCCUUAGAUGUUCUGGGUCGUACGCGCGCUACACUAAUGCAUUCAACGAGUCUAUAGCCAUGGCUGACAGGCCCGAGUAAUCUUCGAAAUUUCAUUGUGAUGGGGAUAGAUCAUUGCAAUUGUUAGUAUUCAAUGAGGAAUUCCUAGUAAGCGCGAGUCAUCAGCUCAUGUUUACUACGUCCCUGCCCUUUGUACACACCGUCCGUCGCUCCUACCGAUUGAAUGGUCUGAUGAAGUGUUCAAAUCGAGAUAACGUGGGCGGUUCAUUGCCUGCGACAUCGUGAGAAGUCCACUAAAUCUUAUCAUUCAAAGGAAGAAGAAGUUGUAACAAGGUUUUAUGUAGGUAAACUUGCGGAAG
rfam:Gossypium raimondii Chr03_contig_239, whole genome shotgun sequence.